rnacentral:lncRNA from 1 species
CCCAGGAUGAACGAUCUCUCAAUCAAGCUAUCCGGAGGGAAUUCACGAGAAAUGCCAGAAACCCCUUCAGCGGCCUGAGCAGCACGGACGAGUGGUGGGACUGGAGCCUGACCACGCUGCUGGACGGCCUGUUCCGGGGAAACUCCACUCACGCUGCCAUGCGGG